rnacentral:rRNA from 1 species
GACAAACGCUGGCGGCGUACCUAAGACAUGCAAGUCGAACGGUGCUUGCUGCUUCGGUGGCAAGGAUAGUGGCGGAUGGGUGAGUAACGCGUAGGAACCUAUCGCACAGUGGGGGAUACCGCCGGGAAACUGGCGCUAAUACCGCAUGAGGUUGGGCGGGUAAGCCGUGCAACGAAAGCGAGUGAUCGCGCUGAGUGAGGGGCCUGCGUCCGAUUAGCUGGUUGGUGGGGAACGGCCUACCAAGGCGACGAUCGGUAGCUGGUCUGAGAGGACGGUCAGCCACACUGGGACUGAGACACGGCCCAGACUCCUACGGGAGGCAGCAGUUAGGAAAUUUUUGCAAUGGGGGAAACCCUGACAGAGUAACGCCGCGUGGAGGAUGACGGCCUCGGUUGUAAC